rnacentral:rRNA from 1 species
UACGUAGGGCGCAAGCGUUAUCCGGAAUUAUUGGGCGUAAAGAGCUCGUAGGCGGUUUGUCGCGUCUGCCGUGAAAGUCCGGGGCUCAACUCCGGAUCUGCGGUGGGUACGGGCAGACUAGAGUGAUGUAGGGGAGACUGGAAUCCUGGUGUAGCGGUGAAAUGCGCAGAUAUCGGGAGGAACACCGGUGGCGAAGGCGGUUCUCUGGGCCUUACCUGACGCUGAGGAGCGAAAGCGUGGGGAGCGAACAGG